AUGGUUCCUUCCAAGCCACAGUGUAGCGAACCUCAUCACAACACAAUUCUGCUGGGCUGGAUUUGUCCCAAGUGUGGAUCAUGGCCAAAGCAGCUGUGAUGUGGCAAGCUCAUGGAAGCUAACGGGAGGCAGUGUGAUGUGGAGGGGAAAGUGCAAGACACUAAGUCAGGACAUCUGGGUUCUGGGUCCUGGACUUGUGUUAUUUCAAGGUGUGCCCUUGAGCCAACUGAAUGAAAAUGCUUUCAGGGCCUCAGUUUCCCCCAAGCUGAUUCAAAUUAAAAAAAAAAAAAAAUUUUUUUUUGAAACAGAGUCUCACUCUGUUGUGUCCGGAAUUGGUGGGUUCUUGGUCUCGCUGACUUCAAGAAUGAAGCCACGGACCUUCGUGGUGAGUGUUACAGUUCUUAAAGGUGGUGUGUCCAGAGUUUAUUCCUUCUGGUGGGUUCGUGGUCUCGCUGACUUCAGGAGUGAAGCUGCAGACCUUCAUGGUGAGUGUUACAGCUCUUAAAGGCGGCACAUCUGGAGUUGUUCGUUCUUUCCAGUGGGUUCGUGGUCUUACUGGCCUCAAGAGUGAAGCUGCAGACCUUCACGGUGAGUGUUACAGUUUGUAAAGGUGGCGCAUCCGGAGUUGUUCAUUCCUCCUGUCUGGCGUUGUUCGUCCUUACAGAGAGCUGAUUGGUCCGUUUUGACAGACUGCUGAUUGGUGCGUUUACAAUCCUUUAGCUAGACACAGAGUGCUGAUGGGCGCAUUUACAAUCCUUUAGCUAGACAGAAAAGUUCUCCAAGGCCCCACCCCACCCAGAAGCCCAGUAGGCUUCACCUCUCAAUAGCACUCGCUGCGGGACUUUGCGGCACCUAGCCCAGGCACUCCGGCAGCCCAGAGGGAGCUCAUCCCCCGAUCAAGCCCAGCAGGCGUCGGCCGCGACAGGCCCAGUCCGCGCCCACCCGGAACCCGCGCCGGCCGACGAGCGAGCUGCGGCACGCAGCCCCGGCUCCUGCCUGCGCCUCUCCCUCCACACCUCCCGGCGAGCAGAGGCUCAGGCCUCGACCAGCCCCAGAGAAGGGCCCCACAGCGCAGCGGCGGGCUGAAGGGCUCCUCCAGCGCGCCAGAGCGGACGCGGAGGCCGACGAGGCGCCGAGAGUAAGCAAGGGCUGCUAGCACGUUGUCACCUCUCACUGUCACCUAGGCUGGAGUGCAGUGGUAAAUCUCGGCUCACUGCAACCUCCACCUCCCGGGUUCAGGUGAUUCUUGUGCCUCAGCCUCCUGAGUAGCUGGGAUUACAAGCACGCGCCACCACUCUGCUAAGAAAUGUUUUAAAUCUGUGCAAAAGCCAUUUUCAAAGAGAAGAAGAUAGCUGAGAAACAACAGAAAAGGGAAGGUCAGCCCACAAAGAAUGAGUAGAGGCUUAAGUUCAAAAAGACAAAGAUACAGAGUCAUAUAUGGCCAUUGGCUCCUAAAAGAGCUACUUAUGAGUAUCAAGUAUGGAAAGAACUUGUUGUUGGACAUUCGUCCCACAGAAGAGACUAAACCCUUCGUCAGUAGAGCCAUGUGCUUAGCUAAAUCUAUUCCUCAAAUAAACAUUCCUUUAGAACAUUAAAGUUACUUUUUUUUUUUUUUUUUUUGAGAUGGAGUCUCACUCUGUCUUGAGUGCAGUGGCGUGAUCUCAGCUCACUGCAACCUCUGCCUCCCAGGUUCAAGUGAUUCUCCUGCCUCAGCCUCCGGAGUAGCUGCGACUACAGGCGCGCACCACCACGCCCGGCUAAUUUUUGUAUUUUUAGUAGAGAUGGGGUUUCACCUUGUUGGCCAGACUGGUCUCGAACUCCUGGCCUCAAGCAAUCCACCCACCUCGGCCUUCCAAAGUGCUGGGAUUACAAGCAUGAGCCACCGCACCUGACCAAAUUUACUUUCUUAAGGGAAAAAAAAGAAAAGCAAAAUAAAACCUAUCCUUUUGCGCCAUGGAGUUUUAGGGUCGGGCAGUCUUGGAGGGAAAUCCUUACUCAAAACCUCACUAGUGGUACAACUUUGAGUGGGUUACUAUACCUUUUGCACCUCAGCUGCCACACCUAUAGAGAACAUUGACAAUGACAGCAUGGAGGGGAGUCAUGGCCAUCACACGACAGCCCCAUGCUGGUGUCCGGGUGGUGCCUUCUUCCCGGCUGGCUCCACGGUUUCCAUGGUUUCUGUUAGUCCCCUCCCUCCAUCCCCACUUUGGCAUUUGCCUUUGUUUGAUUCAUGUUUCCACCCUUCCUCUUGCCCCUCCACAUUAUGAGGAAAAAGGGAAGCCUCUGAUCUCUCUAUUUGGAAGUUUGCAGAAGCCUUUUCCUACUUCAGUGAAGUGCAGUCAUACAAAAUUUAUACUCAACAGCAUCAGCAGAUUUUUUUCCAUCAAUAUUUCCUUUUUAAUUUCAGCUUUAUCUGGAUUUUAAUAGCAUAAAGAAUUUACUUUUGUUCUUUUAAAGAGCAACCAAAACAAGAAUAAUAUAUAUUUGAAUAUAAGGUCUUAACACUAUGUUUAACAUUGUGUUUAGGCUAUGCCUAUAGAGGUUACAGGUGUUUUUUGGUGAGUAAAUUAUGAAUGCCAUGGGUGUAUAUGUGCUUAUAAUCUUACAUACAUAUGAACUAGGUGUGUGUGUGUGUAUGGUAUAUAUAAAAAGUCAUGAGAUCCAGAUCUGACCACCUUGAUCUUUUUUCCUCUUUGAUUUUCACUACAGCAAACACUGAACCUAGAGCCAAUCUUCACAUGAACCUUUAUGAAACCUCACCGUUGACCCAAACAACAGAGAAGCAGGGAGCCCAGCAGUCCUUGGAGGCAGCAGCUCAGAAGACAGGAGAGCCUCAAAGUUGUAUAAAUAAAGGGCUGAUAUGUUCAAACAGAAAAGAAUUUUACACGCGCAAGCUGCACAUCGACAUGACGCCGUUCCUGAAGGAAAGUGGAAAUGCACUGGACUAUCAGGAAGAAGCAGGGAGACCCCUCAGAGAAACUCACCACGACGGCCAAGACCCAGAGCCAAGGAGUAUGACCCUUGACUCUCUCAGGGCUUCCCGGACUGAGCACAUCCAGACCCCAGAAGCAGAUAUUGUGCAAAAGGUGGGCAGAGAUUAUGAUGUACACCACCUACACAGAGGACUUCUGGGAUACGGGCCUGAGUCACCCGAGAGGUUGAGUGCUGUGUAUACAUCUCUUCUUCCAAGAGAAAGAGAAGGGAAGGCUGAACCAAGACUGUUUAGCCAGGAGACAUCAGCCAGCAUCAGUCAUGAGAGGGAUUUGAUUAACGAGGCCAAGAGAAAGGAAAAACCCAAGAAAGACAAAACCAAAGGACCCAAAAGGGAGAGAGAAGGAAAGGUCUACGGGCAAGCAGAGGCUGCCAUUGGAAAGUCAAAGGACUCAAAGGCUAAAAAAAAAUUAGAAAAAAAAACAAGACCCCAAAGGAAAAGGACACAGAAGGAAAGAAAUCUGGAGAUAGCGGCAGAGCUGAGCGGGCCUGAUGUCAGCUAUGAGGAAACAGAAGACACCUCAAAUAGAGGUUCCUUUGCCUCAGACUCCUUUGUAGAGGACCCUUGGCUUUCUCCCAAAUACGAUGCCCAGGAAAGCCAAGUUUCUCUAGAUGGAAGAUCAUCACCCUCUCAGAUUGCAACUGUCACUGGCAACAUGGAAUCUAAAGAAGAGAGAAGAUGUGAGGACCCUUCCAAGGCCCUCCUCACUAAGAGGGAGCAGGAGAAGGCUUCCUGGGACAGGCUUCGAGCAGAAAGAGCCGAGAUGAGGUGGCUGGAGGUGGAGAAGAAGAGAAGGGAGCAGGAAGAGCAAAGGCAGCUCCAGCAGGAGCAGCUGGAGAGAGCAAAAAAGAUGGAGGAGGAGCUGGAGCUGGAGCAGCAGAGACGUACAGAAGAGAUCCGCUUGAGGAAACAGAGACUCCAAGAAGAACAGCAGCGGCAGGAGGAGGAGGAGAGAAAGCAGCAGCUCCGGUUGAAAGCAGCCCAGGAGAGAGCCCGGCAACAGCAAGAGGAGUUUCGGAGGAAACUGCGAGAACUACAGAGAAAAAAGCAGCAGGAGGAAGCCGAGAGGGCCGAGGCAGAGAAGCAAAGGCAAGAGGAAUUGGAAAUGCAGUUAGAAGAAGAACAAAAACACCUGAUGGAAAUGGCUGAAGAGGAACGACUGGAGUACCAGCGGCGGAAACAGGAAGCAGAAGAGAAGGCUCGGCUGGAGGCAGAGGAGAGGAGGCAAAAAGAAGAGGAAGCAGCAAGACUGGCUCUGGAAGAAGCCACGAAACAAGCUCAGGAACAAGCCAGGUACUGGAUAUUUGGGCAACAGUUGCCAUAGGGGGAUGGUUCAAGGGCUUCACUGUCCAGUGCUAGUGCUAGCUUUGCACUGCCUUUAGACAAGAAAAGUCCCCCCACCCCCAGCAUGGCUUGGAAGACUGAAAGGCAUAGAGGGAUUCUUUUGCUGCAAAUGUCAAGGAUUCCUUUGUAGCUUAAUGAAGUUGUAAUGAAUCUACAAGGGAGUUUGGAGAUAUCUACGUCAAUCCCCUAGUUUAUAGAUGAAAAAAGCAAGUCCCAAAGAGGGAAAGGAUCUUGAUCACAGACAAACAGUGACUUAGGGACAAUGCCAAGACCAGAUCUAAGACCCCCUGAUUUCGAACCCACUGCCUGCCUUGAUAUCUACUGAGUGCCUGUUAUGUGCCAAACACUGUUCUAGACACUAGGAAUUCAGGAGUAAGCAAGACAGAGAAGGUCUCUCUUCCCAUCACAUUUACAUUCUAGGGGUGGGAAUGGAGACAGACUCUAAACAAAUAUUUUUUAAAGCUAGCAAUAAAUGCUAUGCAGAAAAAAUUUAACGAUGUGAUAGGACACCGGGCACAGUGGCUCACACAUGUUAAUUCCAGCACUUUGGGAGACCAAGAAGAGAGAAUCACUUGAGCUCAGGAGUUCAAGACCAGCCUAGGCAACUAAGUGAAACCCCCAUCCCUACAAAAAAAAAUCAAAAAAUUAGCCAGGUGUGGUGGUGAAUGCCUGUGGUCCCAGCUACAUGGGAGGCUGAGGCAGGAGGAUCGCUUGAACCUGGGAGGUCAAGGCGGCAGUGAGCUAAGAUCAAGUCACCACACUCCAGCCUGGGUGACAGAGCAAGACUCUCUUU
rnacentral:sRNA from 1 species